ACAAAUUGGAAUAAAGAGGAGAUUUGUGAAACCGGAAAUCUGAAAUCCCUAAUUGAUAGUCGAAUUUUGGAUCGUCCUGAGACUGCGACGUCGUUGGACCCUUGGCAGUCUUACGGCUAUUCCUCUCUACGACCUCCUUCCUCCUCCUCUGCUCUCUGCCUUUGAAUCCAUCACAGCUCGUUGCCGUUCAGAUACGUCGGAGAAAGAAAAAUACAAAUGGAUUCAUCACAAAGUACGGUUGCGGGGGGAAAUGGUGGAAAUGGGACGCUGAUCUCUCAAACUAAUGACACAGCAGCUUCUGCAACAGGAGCUGAUGAUUCUAUGCAGAAGCUGAACCAGGUCAGCAAUUCCAUUCAGAAAACCCUGGGCCUUAUCCAUCAGCUUUACCUUACAGUUUCUACCUUCAAUGCUGCCUUUCAAAUGCCUCUUCUCCAACGCAUCAAUGGUCUUGUUGUGGAGCUUGACAACAUGGUUAAAUUGGCAGAGAAGUGUAACAUUCAGGUUCCUAUGGAGGUUGUCAAUUUAAUUGAUGAUGGGAAAAAUCCAGAUGAAUUUACCAGAGAUGUUAUAAAUAAUUGUAUUGCAAAGAAUCAGAUCACCAAAGGGAAAACUGAUGCUUUAAAGAGUUUGCGCAAGCAUCUUUUGGAGGAAUUGGAGCAGAACUUCCCUGACGAGGUUGAAACUUUUAGAGAGAGUCGUGCUACUGCUGCUGCUAUAUCAAGGUAGAAGAAAAAUACAGAUAUCACUCUAGAGAAACUGAAAAUGGAAAGAAAUUACAGAACAUGCGAGGGUUUGCAAAGCUUCCUCACUUUCCCACACAAUUUCUUCUUGCCUUCCAUCUCUCUACUGAUCGUUUUCUAUAAAAGAUCAUGCCUUCCUCAAUCCUCCCUUCCACAUGGUAAUUUGAUUAUUUCCAUGGUGAAUCCUAACUAUUCACGUACUGGUCUGGCACUGGCAUCCUGUGGCCCUUAUUCUGCAUGCCCUACAAGUUCAUUCUGGGUGGAGUUGAAACGUCAGGCACAGGCACAAAACGUACUGCCAAAUGGAGAUGUGAGGGUUAAGUCAGAGCAUUGAGAUCUGAUAUCUUGUGCCUUUCCUUGUCUAUAUGUGGAACUCUACAUUUUUCCUUUUUUGACCUUGUAUGUAUACAGUGUCUGUAUAGUGCAUUUCAGCACCGUUUCCUUGUUCGUGCAUCUUGGUUAUAUGUUGCGAAUUGAAUUUAACCGAAAAUCAAGAAUUUUUAGAAGAUCAAAAACUUAUAUAAGGUUUAUACUUUUGACUGAGUU